rnacentral:rRNA from 1 species
AUUGCAGGCUGCAACUCGCCUGCAUGAAGUUGGAAUUGCUAGUAAUCGCGAAUCAGAAUGUCGCGGUGAAUACGUUCCCGGGCCUUGUACACACCGCCCGUCACACCACGAGAGUUUACAACACCCGAAGUCAGUGGCCUAACCGCAAGGAGGGAGCUGCCUAAGGUGGGGUAGAUGAUUGGGGUGAAGUCGUAACAAGGUAUC